rnacentral:rRNA from 1 species
AAUAUAUCGGAACGUGCCCAGUAGCGGGGGAUAACUACUCGAAAGAGUGGCUAAUACCGCAUACGCCCUACGGGGGAAAGGGGGGGAUCGCAAGACCUCUCACUAUUGGAGCGGCCGAUAUCGGAUUAGCUAGUUGGUGGGGUAAAGGCUCACCAAGGCAACGAUCCGUAGCUGGUUUGAGAGGACGACCAGCCACACUGGGACUGAGACACGGCCCAGACUCCUACGGGAGGCAGCAGUGGGGAAUUUUGGACAAUGGGGGAAACCCUGAUCCAGCCAUCCCGCGUGUAUGAUGAAGGCCUUCGGGUUGUAAAGUACUUUUGGCAGAGAAGAAAAGGCAUCCCCUAAUACGGGAUGCUGCUGACGGUAUCUGCAGAAUAAGCACCGGCUAACUACGUGCCAGCAGCCGCGGUAAUACGUAGGGUGCAAGCGUUAAUCGGAAUUACUGGGCGUAAAGCGUGUGUAGGCGGUUCGGAAAGAAAGAUGUGAAAUCCCAGGGCUCAACCUUGGAACUGCAUUUUUAACUGCCGAGCUAGAGUAUGUCAGAGGGGGGUAGAAUUCCACGUGUAGCAGUGAAAUGCGUAGAUAUGUGGAGGAA